CCUACGGGCGGCAGCAGUGGGGAAUAUUGGACAAUGGGCGAAAGCCUGAUCCAGCCAUGCCGCGUGUGUGAAGAAGGCCUUCGGGUUGUAAAGCACUUUCAGUGGGGAAGAAAGCCUUGGGGCUAAUACCCUCGAGGAAGGACAUCACCCACAGAAGAAGCACCGGCUAACUCCGUGCCAGCAGCCACGGUAAUACGGAGGGUGCGAGCGUUAAUCGGAAUUACUGGGCGUAAAGCGCGCGUAGGCGGUCUGAUAAGCCGGUUGUGAAAGCCCCGGGCUCAACCUGGGAACGGCAUCCGGAACUGUCAGGCUAGAGUGCAGGAGAGGAAGGUAGAAUUCCCGGUGUAGCGGUGAAAUGCGUAGAGAUCGGGAGGAAUACCAGUGGCGAAGGCGGCCUUCUGGACUGACACUGACGCUGAGGUGCGAAAGCGUGGGUAGCAAACAGGAUUAGAUACCCGAGUAGUC
rnacentral:rRNA from 1 species